UACGUAGGGUGCGAGCGUUGCCCGGAUUUAUUGGGCGCAAAGGGCGCGUAGGCGGCCACGCACGUCCGUUGUGAAAUCGCCCGGCUCAACUGGGCGGGGUCAGCGGAUACGGUGUGGCUAGAGCAAGCUAGGGGGCAAUGGAAUUCCCGGUGUAGUGGUGGAAUGCGUAGAUAUCGGGAGGAACACCAGUGGCGAAGGCGGUUGCCUGGAGCUUUGCUGACGCUGAUGCGCGAAAGCGUGGGGAGCGAUCCGG
rnacentral:rRNA from 1 species